rnacentral:rRNA from 1 species
CUACGGGUGGCAGCAGUGGGGAAUAUUGCACAAUGGGCGCAAGCCUGAUGCAGCCAUGCCGCGUGUAUGAAGAAGGCCUUCGGGUUGUAAAGUACUUUCAGCGGGGAGGAAGGGAGUAAAGUUAAUACCUUUGCUCAUUGACGUUACCCGCAGAAGAAGCACCGGCUAACUCCGUGCCAGCAGCCGCGGUAAUACGGAGGGUGCAAGCGGUAAUCGGAAUUACUGGGCGUAAAGCGCACGCAGGCGGUUUGUUAAGUCAGAUGUGAAAUCCCCGGGCUCAACCUGGGAACUGCAUCUGAUACUGGCAAGCUUGAGUCUCGUAGAGGGGGGUAGAAUUCCAGGUGUAGCGGUGAGAUGCGUAGAGAUCUGGAGGAAUACCGGUGGCGAAGGCGGCCCCCUGGACGAAGACUGACGCUCAGGUGCGAAAGCGUGGGGAGCAAACAGGAUUAGAUACCCCUGUAGUC